GUUAAAACGAUGAAGGGAACAGUAUGGCAAGGAAUCGUUUUUUUUUAGCGAGCUAGUGAUGGUGUAAGACUAGCAAACGACCCUGUCCGGAACAUCAUCCUGGAGUUUCUAAGCUGAACGAUCGUAAUAGUAAGCUUAGCGUGUAUUCACGAUACGAAUAGUAAAGCGGGUUCUUUACUGUUAAUGAAGAGCCUAUUAGGGUGGUACCGCGGGUAGCCUUCUCGUCCCUUUC
rnacentral:ncRNA from 1 species